AUGAACGCUGGCGGCGUGCUUAACACAUGCAAGUCGAACGGAAAGGCCGAAGCUUGCUUCGGUACUCGAGUGGCGAACGGGUGAGUAACACGUGGGUGAUCUGCCCUGUACUUCGGGAUAAGCUUGGGAAACUGGGUCUAAUACCGGAUAUGACGAUCUCUUGGAUGGGGUUGUGGAAAGCUUUUGCGGUAUGGGAUGAGCUCGCGGCCUAUCAGCUUGUUGGUGGGGUAAUGGCCUACCAAGGCGUCGACGGGUAGCCGGCCUGAGAGGGUGUACGGCCACAUUGGGACUGAGAUACGGCCCAGACUCCUACGGGAGGCAGCAGUGGGGAAUAUUGCACAAUGGGCGCAAGCCUGAUGCAGCGACGCCGCGUGGGGGAUGACGGCCUUCGGGUUGUAAACUCCUUUCGCAAUCGACGAAGCCUUUUGGUGACGGUAGGUUGAGAAGAAGCACCGACUAACUACGUG
rnacentral:rRNA from 1 species